GCGCCCGUAGCUCAGCUGGAUACCAAAUUACCUUGGCUACGAACCAAGGGGGUCAGGAGUUCGGAUCUCUUCGAGGCGCGCCA
rnacentral:tRNA from 1 species